UUACGGAGUUCGGGCGGCAUGUCACAUACACUGAUACACUUGUCUCUGGAAAGAACCCCACCGCUCAAUCUCGAAACCUGUUUCCCGUUGAGCCGGCUGUUCGCUGCCUCCAUUCACCCAUUACCGCCGGUUAACUAUCGCCGGAAUCCAGCUCGUUUGCUAAAGUCGUUGUCUUUUCGCGCCAAUACUGCUAAUCGUCAAGGAACUAGAAUUCCCGCGGUUUUGGAGACUGAGUUCGCGGUUACGGAGGAGCAGUCUGAGCCGCCUGUAAGAAUAGUGGCCCUUGUCGGCGAAGGAAGCCUCAGCCCGCUAAAGAACGCUACUUGGGAGGAGGUCAUGCUCCACACUGUAAGUAUUUGAUAUUUUGGUGAUUACAUUGUCAGUUCAAAAUUUUUUAUAUAAAAUGCAAAAUUCAAAGGAACCAUUAUAAUUGAAGAUAAGUUCUUCUGCCUUGCUUUUAUGUUGGAAUUUUUGGGAUACUCUUUUUUUUAAUUAAUUAAUUAUUUAAUGAAUAUAGCUUUAUGGUGCAGAAGUGUAGAACGUUUUUCUUGAUCUGAUUUGAGAAGAUUCUUGAUAGUUUUUGAGAGAUAUACAGUUUAUUUUUGUUUGCACUGGAAAUGGAAAUUGCAAUUCCUUGAAUAGCUUGAAUUUAGGUAAGAAUGGUCUUUUUAAGCAUAAAUUUUUGGGCACACAUCAGUAAAUUUUAUAUGACUAUCUAAAAAUAAAUUGGAAUUCACAUCUUGUAAUAAGGAGAAAUUCGUUUCCAUUCCCAUUCCAUGUUUGAUUCAAAGCAAACAAAUGUGCCCUUUCUAAUAUAAUCAUUGUUUGAGCAGGCAAAAAGGUUGAAAUGGGUUGAUGAAGGGUAUCAAAUGUUUGUAUUCACUGACAAUCUAUGUCAAUCUAAUGACCAAACUAAGUAUCUGCAAAGGGAAUUGAGCCAUGCAGAUAUAUUGCUGAUUGUUGCAGUUUCAAAUCAAGAAUCAGUCAAGUGGAUCCAAACCAAUAGCAGAAGGGUUCCUAAUAUAAUCUGUUUCGACUCAUCUCCAGAUCUGGAAAACAAACUUGGAGGAUCACAUGUUCAGAAUGAAACCAAUGGUACCUUACUUAGAAAAAUAAUUGGAUUUGCCCUGCCUAAUAAAAUCAAUGAAUCAAGGGAAGUGGUGAAAACUGUAUCUGAAGCAUGGGAACGGCACAAUACAGAUGAUAUAAGGUUUUGUUUGUUGGUCAUAAUCAAUGCAUAUAUCAGACCAGUACCAGUCCUGAAGAACCUGAGAUCAAAGGGUUUUUCCACCCUUAAUUGCAUGGUUAAGAACUGUGGGCCUCAAAUACUAAACUGCCUAUUGGAUCCUAACUGCAGGAAAGCACUACAAUGCUUGAACAAUUGCAGCCCGGUUGAUCAGGUGUGUAAUUAUCGAUGUAUUACCUCUUAUGAAAGUCCAAACCUAGAGACUUUUUCUCUCUGUGUGUUGCAGAAGAACAAUUGUCUUGAAUUGGACGCAAGGAUCCCUGAGAAGCCUUAUGUUCCUCCCAUGGUUAAGUUCCGAGGGGAAGACAUGUGCCAUGAAACUGCUGAGGAUCUUUUUGUGGGUUGGUUGGGCAGUCUGGAUUGGAGUUGGCGUGUUGUGGCAGGACAGAACCCAGCAUAUGAUCAAUUUCCAUGCCAGUUCCAGUUGUUCUACAGGGGAAAGGCGAAAGGAUCAUUCUGGUACGAGCCAGUUUUCCAGGUUCAGACGCUAGCGGGAAAAAUGGUUUGGAGGAGAAGAAAGUAUCGUGUGAAGAGAAGCAAAGUGCCAGGAACAUUUUAUUUUAGUGUAUUGGAUAAUGGUGUUGUUUCGAAUGAGUUUUGGACAAUUGUGGACGUGUCUGAUGAUUUUAGCUGGGGUUUGUUUCACUAUAGUGGUGCUGCUCGAGUUGCAGGACAGUCAUAUACAGGAGCUGUGCUUGUUAGUCCAGAUGGAGCAUACCCAAAUGAAAAGGAGAGAAAGAGAGUGGUUGCUGCCUUGGACAAUUGUGGAAUCAAAGAAUGGGAACUGUAUACAGUUGAUAAUUGUUCAUGCCAAGGGCCUCCACUAGGAAUUCCAGAGGGCUCAUGUUUGCAUUCUACAAUUGUUGUUGAAGAUGAGAAAAGGAAAUCGGCUAUUUCAUAAUGUUUCAGAGGAAUUAGAUGGAUUCAUGAAUUUGCAUGAAAAGACAGAUUAGGAGCAAAUUUGUCCACGUAGAGGUGAGUAUACAUUAUCAGAACUGUGAUUAGUCUCUGAGAACGUGUAAAAUCCAUGCUGCGUUUGAUAGCUGUGCACAAGAAAAGCUUAACCUUAAUUAUUAUCUUUUGUUGAAAUUAAGAAACGGAAAAAUAAAAAAAAUGUGAAAUUUAUUCUGCAGUUAACGAAUUUGUGCAAGAAUGAGAAAGAGAAAUGUUAU
rnacentral:misc_RNA from 1 species